rnacentral:lncRNA from 1 species
CUCAGUUUCAUUUAUUAACCUCCAACGUACGAACAGCUUCUGAACCGCCGUAAUACUGAAACAGAAUCAGAUAAAAACAUGAAGCCGUCACGUUUUCAGGUUUGGCCCCAAACACGAGCUAACUAGCUGAGAGCAGCUAACAUUACCAUAACAGUUAGCAUCUUUUAGCAACGAGUCCAUCAGGAAACUCCAUCAAUCACCUCGGUACCAAAUCUGUCUGUCUGUCUGUCUGUCUGUCUGUCCUCUGUCUGUCUGUCUGUCUGUCUGUCUGUCUGUCUGUCUGUCUGUCUGUCUGUCCUCUGUCUGUCUGUCUGUCUGUCUGUCUGUCUGUCUAUCCUCUGUCUGUCCUCUGUCUGUCUGUCUGUCUGUCUGUCUGUCUGUCUGUCCUCUGUCUGUCUGUCUGUCUGUCUGUCUGUCUGUCUGUCUGUCUGUCUGUCUUAUCCUCUGUCUGUCUGUCUGUCUGUCUAUCCUCUGUCUGUCUGUCUGUCUGUCUGUCUGUCUGUCCUCUGUCUAUCCUCUGUCUGUCUGUCUGUCCUCUGUCUGUCUGUCUGUCUGUCUGUCUGUCUAUCCUCUGUCUGUCUGUCUGUCUGUCUGUCUGUCCUCUGUCUGUCCUCUGUCUGUCUGUCUGUCUGUCUGUCUGUCUAUCCUCUGUCUGUCUGUCUGUCUGUCUGUCUAUCCUCUGUCUGUCCUCUGUCUGUCUGUCUGUCUGUCUGUCUGUCUGUCCUCUGUCUGUCCUCUGUCUGUCUGUCUGUCUGUCUGUCUGUCUAUCCUCUGUCUGUCUGUCUGUCUGUCUAUCCUCUGUCUGUCUGUCUGUCUGUCUGUCUGUCCUCUGUCUAUCCUCUGUCUGUCUGUCUGUCCUCUGUCUGUCUGUCUGUCUGUCUGUCUGUCUGUCUGUCUGUCUAUCCUCUGUCUAUCCUCUGUCUGUCUGUCUGUCUGUCUGUCUGUCUGUCCUCUGUCUGUCCUCUGUCUGUCUGUCUGUCUGUCUGUCUGUCUAUCCUCUGUCUGUCUGUCUGUCUGUCUGUCUGUCUAUCCUCUGUCUGUCCUCUGUCUGUCUGUCUGUCUGUCUGUCUGUCUGUCUGUCUGUCCUCUGUCUGUCUGUCUGUCUGUCUGUCUAUCCUCUGUCUGUCUGUCUGUCUGUCUAUCCUCUGUCUGUCUGUCUGUCUGUCUGUCUGUCCUCUGUCUAUCCUCUGUCUGUCUGUCUGUCCUCUGUCUGUCUGUCUGUCUGUCUAUCCUCUGUCUAUCCUCUGUCUGUCUGUCUGUCUGUCUGUCUGUCUGUCUGUCCUCUGUCUGUCCUCUGUCUGUCUGUCUGUCUGUCUGUCUGUCUAUCCUCUGUCUGUCUGUCUGUCUGUCUGUCUGUCCUCUCGUCUGCUGAUAACAUUAAGUAGAAUUUAUAUUUGGGUAGUAAAACCAGCAUUUUUAAAAUAUCCAAGCACCCUGUAUCAUAGCUACAUGUGUGACGUUUUUAACUAAUCAGUACGUUUGGAAAUCGGUCCAAAAUUCAGCGAAUAAUUCUACUUUGAGAUUGAAGAGUUCCUCUUUCCUUCGUAGGUUGAUGCACUGUUCCAAGAUGGCCGCCCUGUAG